rnacentral:rRNA from 1 species
AUUGAACGCUGGCGGCAUGCCUUACACAUGCAAGUCGAACGGUAACGCGGGGCAACCUGGCGACGAGCGGCGAACGGGUGAGUAAUGUAUCGGAACGUGCCCAGUUGUGGGGGAUAACUGCUCGAAAGAGCAGCUAAUACCGCAUACGACCUGAGGGUGAAAGCGGGGGAUCGCAAGACCUCGCGCAAUUGGAGCGGCCGAUAUCAGAUUAGGUAGUUGGUGGGGUAAAGGCCCACCAAGCCAACGAUCUGUAGCUGGUCUGAGAGGACGACCAGCCACACUGGGACUGAGACACGGCCCAGACUCCUACGGGAGGCAGCAGUGGGGAAUUUUGGACAAUGGACGCAAGUCUGAUCCAGCCAUGCCGCGUGCGGGAAGAAGGCCUUCGGGUUGUAAACCGCUUUUGUCAGGGAAGAAAAGGCUCUCUCUAAUACAGGGGGCUAAUGACGGUACCUGAAGAAUAAGCACCGGCUAACUACGUGCCAGCCGCCGCGGUAA